rnacentral:rRNA from 1 species
AACCAGCACCUCAAGUGGUCAGGAUGAUUAUUGGGCCUAAAGCAUCCGUAGCCGGCUCUGUAAGUUUUCGGUUAAAUCUAUAUGCUCAACGUAUAGGCUGCCAGGAAUACUGCAGAGCUAGGGAGUGGGAGAGGUAGACGGCACUCGGUAGGAAGGGGUAAAAUCCUUUGAUCUAUUGAUGACCACCUGUGGCGAAGGCGGUCUACCAGAACACGUCCGACGGUGAGGGAUGAAAGCUGGGGGAGCAACCGG